AUUGAACGCUGGCGGCAGGCCUAACACAUGCAAGUCGAACGAGCGGCGGACGGGUGAGUAAUGUAUGGGAAACUGCCUGAUGGAGGGGGAUAACUACUGGAAACGGUAGCUAAUACCGCAUACCAUCAGAUGUACCCAGAUGGGAUUAGCCAGUAGGUGGGGUAACGGCUCACCAAGGCGACGAUCCCUAGCUGGUCUGAGAGGAUGACCAGCCACACAGUAACUGAGAAACGGUCCAGACUCCUACGGUAGGCAGCAGUGGGGAAUAUUGCACAAUGGGCGCAAGCCUGAUGCAGCCAUGCCGCGUGUAUGAAGAAGGCCUUCGGGUUGUAAAGUACUUUCAGCGGGGAGGCGUUACCCGCAGAAGAAGCACCGGCUAACUCCGUGCCAGCAGCCGCGGUAAUAC
rnacentral:rRNA from 1 species